rnacentral:rRNA from 1 species
CCCUUAGAUGUUCUGGGCCGCACGCGCGCUACACUGUUCGACGCAGCGAGUCUUAACCUUGACCGAAAGGUUUGGGUAAUCUUCAGCAAAGUCGAACGUGAUGGGGAUCGAUCAUUGCAAUUAUUGAUCGUGAACGAGGAAUUCCUAGUAAGUGCAAGUCAUCAGCUUGCGCUGAUUACGUCCCUGCCCUUUGUACACACCGCCCGUCGCUACUACCGAUUGAAUGGUUUAGUGAGAUCUCUGGAUUGACGCUGACUAGGGGGCGACCCUUGGCCAGGCUGUCGAGAAACUGCUCAAACUUGAUCAUUUAGAGGAAGUAAAAGUCGUAACA